rnacentral:rRNA from 1 species
CAGUAGCCACGGUAAUACGGAGGGGGCUAGCGUUGUUCGGAAUUACUGGGCGUAAAGCGCACGUAGGCGGCUUGGUAAGUUAGAGGUGAAAGCCUGGAGCUCAACUCCAGAAUUGCCUUUAAGACUGCCGAGCUAGCAGGUGAGAGGGGUAAGUGGAAUUCCGAGUGUAGAGGUGAAAUUCGUAGAUAUUCGGAAGAACACCAGUGGCGAAGGCGGCUUACUGGCUCAUACUGGACGCUGAGGUGCGAAAGCGUGGGGAGCAAACAGGAUUAGAGACCCCUGUAGUCCCUGUCUCUUAUAC